rnacentral:rRNA from 1 species
GAUGAACGCUAGCUACAGGCUUAACACAUGCAAGUCGAGGGGCAGCAUGGGAUUAGCUUGCUAAUCCUGAUGGCGACCGGCGCACGGGUGCGUAACGCGUAUCCAACCUGCCCACCACUUGGGGAUAACCUUGCGAAAGUAAGACUAAUACCCAAUGAUAUCUCUAGAAGACAUCUGAAAGGGAUUAAAGAUUUAUCGGUGAUGGAUGGGGAUGCGUCCGAUUAGCUAGUUGGCGGGGUAACGGCCCACCAAGGCGACGAUCGGUAGGGGUUCUGAGAGGAAGGUCCCCCCACACUGGUACUGAGACACGGACCAGACUCCUACGGGAGGCAGCAGUGAGGAAUAUUGGUCAAUGGGCGAGAGCCUGAACCAGCCAAGUAGCGUGCAGGACGACGGCCCUAUGGGCUGUAAACUGCUUUUAUAUGGGGAUAAAGUGGGUCUCGUGAGACUUUUUGCAUGUACCUUAUGAAUAAGGACCGGCUAAUUCCGUGCCAGCAGCC